rnacentral:rRNA from 1 species
UAAGGAAUAUUGGACAAUGGCCGCAAGGCUGAUCCAGCCAUCCAGCGUGCAGGAAGAAGGCCCUAUGGGUUGUAACUGCUUUUGUCAGGGAAUAAACCUGUGGAUUUACUCCGCAGCUGAAGGUACCUGAAGAAUAAGCACCGGCUAACUUCGUGCCAGCAGCCGCGGUAAUACGGAGGGUGCGAGCGUUAUCCGGAAUUACUGGGUUUAAAGGGUGCGUAGGCGGCCAAGUAAGUCAGGAGUGAAAGUUUGCGGCACAACCGUAAAAUUGCUUUUGAUACUGCUUAGCUAGAAUCAGGAUGAGGUUAGCGGAAUGUGGCAUGUAGCGGUGAGAUGCAUAGAUAUGCCAUAGAACACCAAUUGCGAAGGCAGCUGGCUAGACCUGUAUUGACGCUGAGGCACGAAAGCGUGGGGAGCGAACAG